AUGUGUGGAUGGCACCAUCUUGUCAACUCUUUAUAUCUCUCCCAUGCUUCAUAGAGAGUUUCACCAUCUUGUUGUCUAAAUGUUUGCACCUCAACCCUCAAUCU